GCUAGAAAGAGCAACCCUUCUGGGUCCCCUUCCACUGGGUGGAAGCUUUACUUUCGCUUUCACUUUACUUUCGCUUUUGCUUUGCUUUUGCUUUUACUUUAAUAAAUCUUGCCACUGCACACUCUGGGUUUCUCUACUCGAGCUGUAUCACUCGCUGCUGUGGUCCACCGCUCCAUUCCUUGAGGCCCGUGAGACCACGAACACUUCGAUGGAGAAAAACCUUCUAUCAGGAGAAGACUUCUUGUCUCAUUUCUGGGGGCCCAUCUGGGAUUUCUCCAAAGCUGGCUGGCAACAGGUGGAAAACUGUCUUCCUGAAAUCCCGGCACUGACCCAGUGGAGAUCAUGGCACGGUAUCAACGUGGCAGCAAAUUCAGAAAGUUUCCUCUCCUGACUCCAGGAAAUGAUCUGGAUUCACUGGAUAUCAGCCAGUAUUUGUCAUGCUGAUCGAAGUUGGGAGAAGUUGUCUGGAGUAAGCAACCAAAGCUAAGAUGAGCUCUGCUGAGACCUACUUGCUACAAAACAUUUGCCCUUAUAAAAAAUGGAGGGCUGCACAAAA